rnacentral:rRNA from 1 species
AUACGGAGGGUGCAAGCGUUACUCGGAAUCACUGGGCGUAAAGCGCGCGCAGGCGGCUAUUUAAGUUGGAUGUGAAAGCCUACGGCUCAACCGUAGAACUGCAUCCAAAACUAUUUAGCUAGAGUGUGGGAGAGGAAGAUGGAAUUAGUUGUGUAGGGGUAAAAUCCGUAGAGAUAACUAGGAAUACCGAAAGCGAAGGCAAUCUUCUGGAACACUACUGACGCUGAGGCGCGAAAGCGUGGGGAGCAAACAGGAUUAGAUACCCUAGUAGUCC